GAUGAACGCUGGCGGCGUGCCUAAUACAUGCAAGUCGAGCGAACGGACGAGAAGCUUGCUUUUCUGAUGUUAGCGGCGGACGGGUGAGUAACACGUGGAUAACCUACCUAUAAGACUGGGAUAACUUCGGGAAACCGGAGCUAAUACCGGAUAAUAUUUUGAACCGCAUGGUUCAAAAGUGAAAGACGGUCUUGCUGUCACUUAUAGAUGGAUCCGCGCUGCAUUAGCUAGUUGGUAAGGUAACGGCUUACCAAGGCAACGAUGCAUAGCCGACCUGAGAGGGUGAUCGGCCACACUGGAACUGAGACACGGUCCAGACUCCUACGGGAGGCAGCAGUAGGGAAUCUUCCGCAAUGGGCGAAGGCCUGACGGAGCAACGCCGCGUGAGUGAUGAAGGUCUUCGGAUCGUAAAACUCUGUUAUUAGGGAAGAACAUAUGUGUAAGUAACUGUGCACAUCUUGACGGUACCUAAUCAGAAAGCCACGGCUAACUACGUA
rnacentral:rRNA from 1 species